rnacentral:rRNA from 1 species
GACGAACGCUGGCGGCGUGCCCAAUACAUGCAAGUCGAACGCAGUUGCGAACGGGUGAGUAACGCGUAGGUAACUGCCUGGUAGCGGGGGAUAACUAUUGGAAACGAUAGCUACUACCGCAUACUACCAGAUGGACCUGCGUUGUAUUAGCUAGUUGGUGGGGUAAAGGCUCACCAAGGCAACGAUACAUAGCCGACCUGGGAGGGUGGUCGGGCACACUGGGACUGAGGCACGGGCCAAACACCUACGGGAGGCAGCAGUAGGGGAUCUUCGGCAAUGGGCGGAAGUCUGACCGAGCAACGCCGCGGGAGUGGAGAAAGUUUUCGGAGCGUAAAGCUCUGUUGUAAGAGAAGCGGUAUCUUACCAAAAAGGAACGGCUAACUACGUGCCAGCAGCCGCGGUAAUAC